rnacentral:rRNA from 1 species
AACGUACGCUGGCGGCACGCCUAACACAUGCAAGUCGAACGAAGUAGCAAUACUUAGUGGCAGACGGGUGAGUAACAUGUAGGUAUCUGCCCUUUGGCCUGGAAUAACACGAGGAAACUUGUACUAAUACCGGAUAAGUCUUUACGGAGAAAGCUUUAUGCACCAUUGGAUGAGCCUGCACUUGAUUAGUUUGUUGGUGGGGUAAUGGCCUACCAAGACUGUGAUCAAUAGCUGAUUUGAGAGGAUGAUCAGCCACAUUGGGACUGAGACACGGCCCAAACUCCUACGGGAGGCAGCAGUGGGGAAUCUUGCACAAUGGAGGAAACUCUGAUGCAGCGAUGCCGCGUGAGUGAGGAAGGCCCUUGGGUUGUAAAGCUCUUUCGUCGGGGAAGAAAAUGACUGUACCCGAAUAAGAAGGUCCGGCUAACUUCGUGCCAGCAGCCGCGGUAAUACGAAGGGACCUAGCGUAGUUCGGAAUUACUGGGCUUAAAGAGUUCGUAGGUGGUUGAAAAAGUUAGUGGUGAAAUCCCAGAGCUUAACUCUGGAACUGCCAUUAAAACUUUUCAGCUAGAGUGUGAUAGAGGAAAGCAGAAUUUCUAGUGUAGAGGUGAAAUUCGUAGAUAUUAGAAAGAAUACCAAUUGCGAAGGCAGCUUUCUGGAUCAUUACUGACACUGAGGAACGAAAGCAUGGGUAGCGAAGAGGAUUAGAUACCCUCGUAGUCCAUGCCGUAAACGAUGUGUGUUAGACGUUGGAAAUUUAUUUUCAGUGUCGCAGGGAAACCGAUAAACACACCGCCUGGGGAGUACGACCGCAAGGUUAAAACUCAAAUGAAUUGACGGGGACCCGCACAAGUAGUGGAGCAUGUGGUUUAAUUCGAAGAUACGCGCAGAACCUUACCAACACUUGACAUGUUCGUCGCGACUCUAAGAGAUUAGAGUUUUCGGUUCGGCCGGACGAAACACAGGUGCUGCAUGGCUGUCGUCAGCUCGUGUCGUGAGAUGUUGGGUUAAGUCCCGCAACGAGCGCAACCCUCACUUUUAGUUGCCAUCAUUAAGUUGGGCACUCUGAAAGAACUGCCAGUGAUAAGCUGGAGGAAGGUGGGGAUGACGUCAAGUCCUCAUGGCCCUUACGUGUUGGGCUACACACGUGCUACAAUGGUAUCUACAACAGGAAGCAAGACUGCGAAGUUAAGCAAAUCCCUAAAAGAUACCUCAGUUCGGAUUGCACUCUGCAACUCGAGUGCAUGAAGCUGGAAUUACUAGUAAUCGUGGAUCAGCGUGCCACGGUGAAUGCGUUCCCGGGUCU